rnacentral:rRNA from 1 species
CGUAGGUGGCAAGCGUUGUCCGGAUUUAUUGGGUUUAAAGGGUGCGUAGGCGGUUCCAUAAGUCAGUGGUGAAAUACAAUAGCUUAACUAUUGAGGUGCCAUUGAUACUGCGGAACUUGAGUACAGACGAGGUAGGCGGAAUUGACGGUGUAGCGGUGAAAUGCUUAGAUAUCGUCAAGAACACCGAUAGCGAAGGCAGCUUACUAGACUGUAACUGACGCUGAGGCACGAAAGUGUGGGGAUCAAACAGGAUUAGAUACCCUGGUAGUCCACACUGUAAACGAUGAUUACUCGAUGUUGGCGAUACACAGCCAGCGUCUUAGCAAAAGCGAUAACGUAAUCCACCUGGGGAGUACGCCGGCAACGGUG